rnacentral:rRNA from 1 species
AACGCCGCGUGGGGGAAGAAGCUCUACGGAGUGUAAACCCCUGUUAGGAGGGAAGAAUGCUGCAAUGGUGAAGAAUCAUUGCAGAGAGACGGUACCUCCAAAGAAAGCCCCGGCUAACUCCGUGCCAGCAACGGCGGUGACUGAGCGGGCUGGCAAGGCGCAUA